rnacentral:rRNA from 1 species
UUUAGAAAAGAAAAUAAAGAGUAGUAGAAAGAAAACUGACUUAUGGCGGCGUCAAUGAACAAGUGCAGGUAUUUGUUUCUCAUAAGUGGAAUUUUUUUUAUUGUUACAUGCAUGAGCACUCAGUAUAUAUAUAUAUAUAUAUAUAUAUAUAUAUAUAUGUCCUCAGCGGUGGAUCGGGCCCAUGUCCCCUGGAAGGGGGUGCCAGAGAGGGUGAGAACCUCGUUGUACCCGGACCCUGUCGCACCACGAGGUGAGUCUCGAGUCGGGUUGUUUGGGAAUGCAACCCAAAUCAGGCGGUGAAUUUCGUCUAAGGCUAAAUACGAGUGAGAGAACAAUAGCGAACAAGUACCGCGAGGGAAAGAUUAAAAAGACUUUGCAAAGAGAGUUAAAGAGUGCUUGAAAUUUUCCGGAGGGAAGCGAAUGGGGGUCAGUAAUGUGCCCUGGUCUGAUAUGGAACGGUGACUAGCCGGUUUGCCAAUCGACUCAUGGCGUGGACCAGCGUGGAUUAGGGGGUGGCUAAAGUUUGGGCUCUUGAUGCUCCUGUGAAACAUCGUCUCCUUGAUUGUGGUAGGCAGCGCGUGCCUCUAGCGUGUUUAGGCAUCUGCACGCUCUGGAUGCUGGCCUGUGGGCUCCCCAUUCCGCUCGUUUUGAAACACGAAUCAAGGAUUCUGACAUGUAUGUGAGUCAAUGGGCGAGUAAACCCGUAAGGCAAAAAGAAAUUGAUUGGUGGGAUCCCCCUCAUGGGUGCACCGCUGACCGACCUUGAUCUUCUGAGAAGGUUUCAAGUGUGAGCAUACCUGUCGGGACCUAAAAAGAUAGUGAACUAUGCCUAAGCUUUUUAAAACUAGAGGAAUCUCUGGUGGAGGCCCGCAACGAUAUUGACAUGCAAAUCGUUCGUCUGACUUGAGUAUAAGGGCAAAAGACUAAUCGAACCGUUUAGUAGCUGGUUCCCUUCGAAAUUUCCCUAAGGACAGGCCGAUAUCAUGUGCAAGUUCUAUCGGGUAAAGCAAAUGAUUAGAGGCCUCUGGGCGCAACGUCCUUGACCUAUUCUCAAACUUUAAAUAGGUAGGACGGUGCGACUGCUUUGUUGAGCCAUGCCACAGAAUCAAAAGCUCCAAGUGGGCCAUUUUUGGUAAGCAAAACUGGUGAUGCGGUAUGAACCGGAAGCCGGGUUACAGUGCCAAUCUGCGCAUUAACCUAAAUCUGCUAAGGAGUGUGUAACAACUGACCUGCCAAAUCAACUUGCCUCAAAAAUAGAUGGCGCUUAAGCGCGCGAACUACACCCGACCGUUGGGGAAAGUGCUAGGCCCCAAUGAUUUGGAGGGUGCGGCGGUCACCACGUUCCGGCUGAGGGAUGGACUAGGAACGGUUCCUUUGGGGGGCUUCCCUAAGCAUAGAACAGCCAACUCAGAACUGGUACGAAAAAGGGGAAUCCGACUUAUUAAUUAAAACAAAUCAUUGCGAUAGUCGCAACGGAUGUUUAUGCAAUGUCAUUUUGGGGCAGUGCUCUGAAGGACAAAGUGUAGAAAUUCACCAAGCGCGGGUAAACAACGAGAGUAAAUAUGACUCUCUUAAGGUAGCCAAAUGUCUCAUCAUAUAAUUAGUGAUGCACAUACAUAGAUUAACAAGAUUCCCGUUAUCGCUGUCUACUAUCCAUGAAAACCACAUACAAGGGAAGGGGCUUGCCAAAAUCGGCAGGGAAAGAAGACCUUGUUGAGCUUUACUCUAGUCCAACUUUGUGAAAAUACUUGAGAGGUGUAGUAUAAGUGGGAGUUGAAAGGCAAAAGUGAAAUACUGCUACUUUUAACGUUAUUUCACUUAUUCCGUGAAUCGGAAGUUGGGCACUGUCCCUCUUUUUAGACCCAUGGCUCGCUUCGCGGGCCAAUCUGGGCAGAAGACAUUGUCAGGUGGGGAGUUUGGCUGGGGCAGCACAUCUGUUAAAAGAUAACGCACGUGUCCUAAGAUGUGCUCAACGAGAACAUAAAUCUCGUGUGGAACAGAAGGGCAAAAGCUCAUUUGAUCCUGAUUUCCAGUACGAAUACGAACCAUGAAAGUGUGGCCUAAUGAUUCUUCAGAACUUCGGAAUUCAAAGCUAGAGGUGUCAGAAAAGUUACUACAGGGAUAACUUGCUUGUGGCAGCCAAGCGUUCAUAGGGAUGUUGCUUUAUGAUCCUUCGAUGUCGGCACUUCCUAUCAUUGUGAAGAAGAAUUCACCAAGUGUUGGAUUGUUCACCCACCAAUAGAGAACAUGAGCUGAGUCUAGACCGUCAUAAGAUAAGUUACCACAGGGAUAACUAGCUUGUGGCAGCCAAGCAUUCAUAGGGACGUUUCUUUUUUAUCCUUCAAUGUCGACUCUUCCUAUCAUUGUGAAGCAGAAUUCACCAAGUGUUGGAUUUUUCACCCACCAAUAGGGAACAUGAGCUGGGUUUAGACCGUCGUCAGAGAGGUUAGUUUUACCAUACCGAUAACAGUGUCGCAAUAGUAAUUCAAUCUAGUACAAGGGGAACCGUUGAUUCACACAACUGGUCAUCGUGGUUGGUUG